GUUUCCACAAAGUCUGUAAGGAAUCUGGAGGUCAUCACUGACUAACAGUCAGACCCUACCUUUUUACCUUUGUGUUGUCUUUUUUCGACUACUGUAGUGUCGUUUGUAAUUGAACCUCUGAGACGAUUUAUUUAAAUACAGCAUAUUUAGAAUAACAACAAUUAGUACAGGUUAUGUGAUUUGUGGUUGAUGGGGAACACAAACAUGCGUCUGUGCUGUUUUAAAUGAACUUAAAUAUUUACAGCAACACUGAUUGGUGAGACUGGUUGGUGUGAUUUGUGGCAAGCAAAUCACCUUUUUCUUUCACUUCUGCAGGCAUUUAAAUUCAGCUACUUCCUUGUUGGAGUCAUUUGGAGCUUGGUGCAUUGAAACAACCGUUCUUCUUAUCAGCUCAAAAUAAAAAAAAAUAAUGACACAAAGUGGGAUAACUCGCUGUUAGCUUUCCGACAACCAGGUUAGAUCUGACAACAAUGCAUCCAGAGAGUUAUUCAAAAACACAACUGCACCCUUGCCUGCUCAUCCUUGGACGAGCUUGUCAAGCUGACAGAAGAUACUCCUAAAGACACACAAACAGUAAGAAGAUGAUUUGGAUCCUUUUGCUUGUCAUCUUGACCUCCUCUGUCUGUGGGAUGCUUGUUGUGAAAAUGUCUCUAACUUCUUAUCAGACAGAGGAGAACGAAAAUGUCACCUUCAGAUGGGACAUUCAGACAUUCAGAAAUUCAGAAAUUUAUUUGUCUGUCUUCCAAAUCAAAUGUGUUUUCCAUUCAGAGCCACCUAAGGUUUUGUACAAAAUGGUAGAAAAUAUUGAGUACACAGAGUCUCAGCAUCAGCAGUUUGCUGGACGGGUUCAGUUGGACAAAGACGCUCUGAGAGAAGGAUGGAUCGGACUUCAUUUGUCCACAGUCACAGCUGAAGACUCUGGAAAAUACCAGUGUGAUCUGGCUGCUGAUUAUGACAGGAAAACAGGGAGAUGGGGGCUUGAAGCCACUGAAAUGUUUGUUCUGAGUGUGAGUCAGGCCUCUAAUGGAGGCAACAGAGACAUGUCCUUCAACACAAGACAGGAUGGAUCACCAGAUAAAGGUUUAAACCAAGCAAUUAACAAACCAAACUGGGCUGCAUCCAUUGGACUUCUGGCAGUAGCUCUCGCAGCCAUUGGAGUAUUAACAAUUAAAUGCUUUCACAGACAGAUCAAUACAGAAGUGGAAGUUGCAGCACUGAGUGGGUGAUUGUUCAGCAAAGUACAGACAUUAGCAUCGACACCCCCGACUCCUCCAGGUGUAAUUGAAGACAGCAGAAAUAAUGUGAUGGCUUACCCUUUUAUAUAACAGUCUGAUAAAAUCCCUAUAGUAUCAUAUAUUAUCAGAUGAAAUGUCAUGACAAACAAAUGUUUAUAGUACAUAUACUCUGUUUUCUUAUUUUGCCAAUUCUGCCUGAGGCAACUUGCAGAGACACAAAACAAAUACAAUAACAUUAGCAUCUGAAAUUUACAGUGUGUGUUGGCAUAUUCAGUGUUUUCAGUAUGUGAUUUCUGCAUUUGAUUUUUGUGAUGUUCCACAGUCAAACGAGUCUUUUAAUAUCAAAGUAACAAUCUGCAAACAGUAGACACCAAAACAUGUAAAAAUACCACAUUAGUCUGCAAUAUACCUCAAAGAAAGUACAAGUUUCUGCAAGUCGUUUCUAAAACUUUAUUGAACACACUUAUGCUCCCCUCUAAUUACUUAUUUAUUAGUUACUAUUAAUAAUUUACUUUACUGAUUUUUAUUAUUGCUGUAAAGCUGAUUUAGAUCAUCAAUCACAGUGAACAUUGUGUCUAAUCAUGUGCUACUGGAGUCAAAGGUGUGUUUUAUUACAGGUCAAAGUACGAACUGGUUUUAAAAGUAUAACUCAACUGUAAUAGACCACCUUGUUUUUAAUUAUGUACAGUUAAUGUGUGACAGCUGCAGUAUAUCAAAACUGUUGUGUUCAUUAAAAUACCUACUAGUUAAAUCAUGUUUUACUCUAGCCUUCAGAAGUGUGUGUAUAAAAUACUUUAAAUUGCUUUUUCCAUGUAGUGGUGUUGGUCAAAUUAUAUCAUGGCUUUUAUUUGGACACUUACAGCACAUUAUGUAAUAACUGAAUAAUAAAUAAUAAACAUUGAGUGACCUCUGUGAAACUUGCUGUGUUUCAUUCUGUCCAGCAGAAAGGCAACAGAAACAGCAGCUGUUGUUCGUCUCCUUCAGACUUUUUUCGCAAGAGUCGAUGUGAGACACUGAUCAGAACCAGACUUAACCUGCAGUACCUCAACCAUCAACAUUAAUGCAGAACCUGUAUUUAAAAGAGACAAAACCUGCCAAAAGGUGUUAAACCUAAUCAUCAGGAAACAGAUCUAGACAUCUAAACACUGGUGAUAGAGGAUUGAAGUUGAGAUGCAGCAUGGAUGGAAAUGACAGUAGAAAGAGAUAGCAUUAGGUGCUUUAAAUGUUCUAUGAUUAGUAUGAUAACAUAAAAAUAUAUAUAUUACAAUUGAGAGAGGAACUUUAAAGUAAUGACCAGAUGAGGUGUCUUCCCGUCUGAACUUGCACUGAAAGCUUCAUUUCUACAAACCUCAAACUGCAAAAUAAUGAAACUGAACAUUAACACAGUUGUUGUUGCAGUAGUAGUAGUAGUGUGUUAAAGUGUCUUCAUGUUAAUGUUACACUGUACUUCAGGUUGAUGAAUGCACAAAGAUUUCUGGUUGUAGAUGCUGGGCAAUAAAGCUUUUUUGUUUUGUUUGAGAGAUAUAUAUUUCUCAGGCCUGAUCACUGUUCAUCUCCACAAUCCACAAUCAAAGUUUCUAUAUAUUUAGAAUUGCUUGUGUGCUUUUAAUCAGGCUGCACAGAUUAGGUGGACCAUAUCAUCUGUACAGGAAAACAAACUAAUGCUGCUGCUGCACUACCAACUACUUCUACAAACAACUCAGUGGAAAUAAAGGGAAUGUUCUUCAUGUUCUGUGUUUUUUUUUUUUUUUAAGUGGCAAUAGCUCAGUUGGUAGAGCAGUGGUGAGCCCCGGGUUCAGCGGUUCUGUUUCACAUUCCUCCAGGCCACAUGUUGUGUCGUCAGUCAAAGCACUAAAACCUCGUAGUGUCGUCUAUUCUCUACGCUUCCAAGGGUUUCACUAAUAUAAUCACUUUAUUGUACUUUAGUGCAGUAUUUCUAUACUGGUACUAUACUUUAUAAACAGUUCUGGUUCUUAAAAAGCUCUAUUUUCUAGGUAGGAAAGAAAAAACC
ensembl:lncRNA